ensembl:lncRNA
AUAAUCAGAUAUAUAUAUAUAUAUAUAUAUAUAUAUAUAUAUCAGUUUAAACUGCAAAGAACAAUCAAAUGGCCUUAUAUAUCUCAGAAACACCUGAGUGUAAAUGUGUUUGUAUUUGUUUUAAGUUCUGCAGCUAUUGAAGUUGAAACUGGCUAAUAAACUGAUUCCUGUGUUUUCAGCUCCUCCAGAUGUUCAUGUCUUUGCAAAAAGGUCUAUCAGAGACAAAACCAAGCUAAAAUUCACCUGUCUGGUCAGUGGCUUCUACCCCAAAGACAUGACACUGGUCAUGAGGAAAUAAUCGCACAUCUCUGUGUGAAAAUGAGGUUGAAUCCACAGGAAUCAGACCAAACCAUGAUGGGACCUUCCAGCUGAGGAAGAGUGUGGAGAUCAAUGAAAAUGAAAAAUCAGAAUAUGAUUGUUUUGUGUCCCACAGAACCUUCAAAGAACCAGUUAUCGUCCAAUGUGAUGGUGUGACGGCAUGAUUGGAGCUAGGGCUGUUUCACACUGGAAGCGUAUGUGAGUGGAAGCAGUGGAAACUGGAUUAGCAUGCUUUUUAAGCUCUACUUUAAAUCAUUUUAAAUCAGCAUGCUUUUGUGUUGUUUGUUUUACACAAGCUACAUUUACAUGCACUGAAAUAAUCAAUAAUCAUAAAUAAUAAUAAUAUUACUCAUGUAGCUCCGUUGACAUUAAUGCGGUGGCUUUCUGAAUAGAUGCACUGUGCAUGCACUGACUUUUUGAUCGGAAUAAAUACAUUGCACAUUUAAUCAAAAAUGUGAAAUAAACUGCAAAGCUUAAAGCUCAUAAGCAGAACCUUCAAAAUCUGAAAUGGGAUUGUAUUUAUUCGGAUUGUCAAAGAGUAGUGCAUGUAAAUAUACUGACAGUGUUAAUCAUGCUUAUUUUUAAUGUUAUUCCAAAAAAAAAGAAAAAAAAAAAAAAAAAAAAAAAAAAAAAAAAAAAAAAAAAAAAAAAAAAAAAAAAAAAAAAAAAAAAAAAAAAAAAAAAAAAAAAAAAAAAAAAAAANCCAUAACAAUGCUGAAUCACUGUCCUCGACCACAAUCAGCUUCAGUUGAGCUGCAGCGACUGCAGACAACGUCCCAAACUUCCAUGUAGUUGACCAUGAGUCUCACACAAGAACUCAAACGCCUCUUGAAAAUAACAUUUAAACUACAUUAGCCUACAGCCUAUGAAGAAAUGUGACUUGAGAAAUGUGUCAAAGAAAUCCCUCUGACGUCGCAUUUCAAAUAUAGUUACCAGAUUUGGUUUGACUCUCUGGAGAGUCAGUCUUGCUGUCUGCUGUUUCAUCAUCACUCUCGUCCUGUUGGAGAAGCAGUGAAAUGUAUAAGUGCAUCUACAGUGCUGCAGGUGAAUGGACCUGUUUACAGAAGUGUUGACAAGGAAAAAAAGCAGCAUGUAUGUGAAACAUGGUGAAAAGCAUGCGUGAGGCUUGUGUGUGAUGAGAUUCACAAUAAGAUCACUUUGGACUUCAGUCACACAAAUGAUGCAUUUACUGAUGUAUGUGUGUCAGUGCAUUAUUAAAAACAAAUGAGAUAUCAGAAUAAGAGGUAUAUUCACCAGAGUCAAAGUUGUAAUGUCCUGCUGUUGUCAUAAUAUCUGUAACAGUGAACAUGAAAGCAAUUCAGCUGAUAAAUCCCCAAGUUAUAAGGUUAAGGGUACCCUUAGUGAAAAUUGGGUUGCAAGAAAAAAAAGCUAAGGUCAGCUUAAGAAACUUAAGCCUGACAUUAAUUAUUCUCCCUUAAAUAUGUAAGUGUUCCCUUAAUGGAGUAGUUCAAUUCCAGAAUUUAAAAAAAAAAAAAAAAAAAAAAAAAAAAAAAACACCUAUUCCAUAUCAUCCAAGAUGUCCAUGGCUUUCUGUCUUUUUCUUAAAAAAAAAAAAACAAACAAACAAACAAACAUUUAUAUACUUUAUAACCACAAAUUAUCGUCUUGCUCUAGCUCUGCUUGCUGAUUAAGCAAUCAUGUUGAAAGGUCAAGCGCGGUCAGCUCUUCA